UCUUCAGACAAGAGUGCCUCCUGAGCAACACUGUGAUUGCAACCUGGUCUAAGACCCUGGGCUGAGGACCCAGUUAGCCCAGACCCGGACUCCUAGACAGCAGAAACAUGGAGAUAUAAUCAUAAAACCUGGAGUUGCACCUGCUUGCCGAGUGUGUGGAACUGUGCUCGGCCAUCUGUAACCUUUUGGCGCUCAAUAAUUUAUUAUAAUUACAGGCUGUUAAAGAUGGCAAUAAAAGAAAAAAAGAGAGAGAAUUGUAUCUGGAAUUAUACAUGAAAAUGAGUACUUAUGUUUAAUGUUUUUAAUGGGAGAAUCUUGUUUUAUGGUGGCUUCAUGUUUCAGAAAAAAGAAAAAAGCUGGGGUUAAAUUCCAUUAUUUAGCAUAGCUUAAAAUCAGGAUAACAGACAUAACAUUUCUUCCACAGAGCAGUCUAAUAUAGCAUAGCACCUAAUAAGAUUUUUCUGACCUCAAAAGUCACUGUGAGGGGAUUUCAUGUAUUUUCCAUCUGUGCAUAAAUUUUAAUUAUUACAAAAAUUAUUUCAGAAAUUUUAUUGCCAAGAAAUAGCAUACCGUAUACUGUACUAUGUGAACCAAGGUAAAAAUGGCAGAAUACGUGUAUGUGCAUGUGAAUAAUCCAGCCAGACGUUGAUUUUAAUAAAACCUAAUUCUCACAUUCA